rnacentral:rRNA from 1 species
CCUACGGGUGGCAGCAGUGGGGAAUAUUGGACAAUGGGGGGAACCCUGAUCCAGCCAUGCCGCGCGUGUGAAGAAGGCCCUCGGGUUGUAAAGCACUUUCAGUGAGGAAGAACGCCUGGUGGUUAAUACCCAUCAGGAAAGACAUCACUCACAGAAGAAGCACCGGCUAACUCCGUGCCAGCAGCCGCGGUAAUACGGAGGGUGCGAGCGUUAAUCGGAAUUACUGGGCGUAAAGCGCGCGUAGGUGGCUUGAUAAGCCGGUUGUGAAAGCCCCGGGCUCAACCUGGGAACGGCAUCCGGAACUGUCAAGCUAGAGUGCAGGAGAGGAAGGUAGAAUUCCCGGUGUAGCGGUGAAAUGCGUAGAGAUCGGGAGGAAUACCAGUGGCGAAGGCGGCCUUCUGGACUGACACUGACACUGAGGUGCGAAAGCGUGGGUAGCAAACAGGAUUAGAUACCCGUGUAGUC